UGCGCACAUACCUGGUGCCCGUUAUAAAGUAGUUCCAGAGUGCAUCAUACAGUGCACUGUGUAGAGUGAGGUGUCGCUGCACGUAUACCUAUUGUACAUUAUAAAAUAGUUCCAGUGCGUUAUACUCGUCAUACCCUGCACUGUAUCGAGCGUACGAAGGCACUGUACAUUUACCUACUGUACAUUACUUCCCCUCUCUGCCGCCUCAGGCCCCAGGUGGAGGUUUCUCCAGGAUCAGGAAUGUAUCUAACCCUGUUUUGAAGCUUUCAACUGUUCCUGCUGUGACCAGUUCCUGAGGUAGACUGUUCCAUAAAUUCACAGUUCUUAUGGUAAAGAAGGAGUGUCACCCCUUGAGACAAAAUUUUUGCUUCUCCAGAUAGAGGGAGUGCCCCCUUGUACUCUGAGGGGGUUUAACCCGGAACAGUUUUCCCCAUAUUUCUUGUAAGGGCCAUUUAUAUAUUUAUAUACGUUGAUCAUAUCUACCCUUAAACGUCUCUUCUCAAGACUAAACAAAUGAAAUUCUUUUAAUCUUUCCUCAUAGCUAAGAUGUUCCAUACCCAAAUUAGUUUAUUUGCGUGUCUCUGCACCCUUUCUAGCUUCACAACGUCCCUUUUAUGAACUGGUGCCCAACACUGAACAACAUAUUCCAGGUGAGGCCAAACAAAUGCUUUAUAAAGCGGUAGUAUUAUGUCCCUGUCCCUCGAGUCCAUGCCUCUUCCGAUACAUAACAAUAUCCUACUGGCCUUAGAUGCAUGCUAUUCUGUAGUCUAUGAUCUACAAGUACACCCAGAUCGUUCUCUACCAUUUAGUUAUAGAAUUGUAUAGUUUUAUAACCUGCACACAUGUAAACUUCUCUUCACAUUCAUUCUACUGUGCAAUGGCCCCUAUCUGCACAGUGGAAGGGUACAGUCCUGUGGAUGGCAUUCGUGAGCUAACAGAAUAGGACUAAGCGUGGCGUAAGACAUGUGACAUGCCACACACAUACCAUGUGACUCCUGGUAUUCAGUUAGCAACAGUCACCUGAUGCCCAUAUGAUACUGAAUAAGAAUAAUGAGGGGGAUUUAUCAAAACCUAUGCAUGGGAAAAAUUGCC